GGGGAUAUAGCUCAGUGGUAGAGCACUUGUCUAGCAUGUACCAGGACCUGGGUUUGAUCCACAGUAUCACAA
rnacentral:tRNA from 1 species